rnacentral:misc_RNA from 1 species
CAGCACCGUCGCAUCGAACAACCGCAGAAAGCUCGGCAGUUAGGCCUAUUAAGUGUGUGUGUGUGUGUGCAUGUACUGUUCUGCUUGUUUAUGUGCGACGAAGAACGCCAGCCAGAUGCCCGAUAACACCUGAGCCGUGUGUGAUUGCUUCGGAUGUGACUCGUGCGACGGCGUGCUGUCGUGCAGCGCGGACGCACAAUGCGGAUCCUGAAGUGAUUCAUCCCCGGCGAGCGAUAUCUCCCGGCCGCGGCUGGAAUUGACAGAAAAAUCAAGAUGGCCUCCGAGACUCCUCUGCCUCCGGCUGCUGCGCCGGACACCGAUUCGGUGGUUGUGUAUAGCACGAACGCGCUGGAAGAACGGGAGAUCACCGUCACAGAGCGGGCACCAAAGCCCAAGCCACCUCCAAUUGAUGUUACCGCAGCACAGCAAUACCAGCAGCCAGACAACAAGACGCCCACGACUGUGCAGCCCCAGACGCCUGGCAGUUCAGCCUACAAAAGCAAGCUGGACAAGGAGAAGAAAAUUGGCCACCGGCGGGUCGACGAGGAGGGCCAGAUCACUUACAAAAAGAUCCAAACAUCACAAAUUAUAGGUUCAAUUCAACUAGGCAUCGGCUAUGCCGUUGGCAGUUUGGCAUCAAAACCAGAGCGUGAUUUAUUGAUGCAGGACUUUGCCAUGGUAGAGUCAAUCUUCUUUCCUGGGGAGGGCAGCAAUCUCACGCCAGCACAUCACUAUAGUGACUUCAAAUUCAAGGCGUACGCUCCGGUCGCCUUCCGAUACUUUAGGGACCUGUUUAGCAUUAAAACUGAAGAUUUUUUGAUGUCUUUGUGCCACGAACCCAUGAGGGAGCUAACAAACCCUGGUGCCAGCGGGAGUGUAUUUUACCUCACCAAUGACGACGAGUUCAUCGUGAAAACAGUCCAGCACAAGGAAGCCGAGUUUUUGCAGAACCUGCUUCCAGGUUACUACAUGAACUUGAACCAGAACCCACGAACACUGCUUCCCAAGUUCUAUGGCCUCUACUGCUACCAGUGCGGGGGCAAGAACGUGCGUGUUGUGCUGAUGAACAACUUGCUACCCUCGGUGGUGCCCAUGCACCAGAAGUACGACCUCAAGGGCUCCACCUACAAGCGCAAAGCGAACAAGCACGAGCGCAGCAAGCGCUCUCCGACCUUCAAGGACCUCGACUUUCUCGAGCACCAUCCCGACGGCAUCCUGCUAGAGGCUGACACAUAUAACGCUCUUAUCAAGACUAUCCAGAGGGACUGCCGGGUUUUGGAGAGCUUCAAAAUAAUGGACUACAGCCUCCUCGUAGGCAUUCACAACAUCGACCAGGCGGCAAGGGAACGAACAGAGCAGCAGCCUCAGGGUGCAAAGGAUGAAGUGAAACUCAAUUCAGCUGGCUCAGAAGAAGACUCCAGCUUUAAACCAACAGGAUCUGGGCUGACGCGGAGUAAGUCCGUAAACCGGCAACGGCUGGCGAACUUCUCCACCGCCAUGGAAUCAAUCCAAGCUGAUGUAGAGCCCAUUGAUCAUGACGAGGAUGUUCCAACCGGUGGCAUCCCAGCGAGGAACUCCAAAGGAGAGCGACUUCUCUUGUUCAUUGGAGUCAUCGACAUUUUGCAAAGCUACCGGCUCAAGAAAAAGCUUGAGCACACCUGGAAGUCCAUGUUUCAUGACGGGGACUCUGUUUCAGUGCACAGGCCCAGCUUCUAUGCGCAACGGUUUCAGGACUUCAUGGCCAAAAGGGUCUUCAAGAAGAUUCCCUCUCUGGAUCUCCCUGAAAUCAAGGGCCCUCAUCGCAAAUUUAGAGCCCUGGUGUCUAGUGUCUUAGCACUGAAGCACUCUCCUUCAAAGAGGAAAGGAGCUCCUGGGAGAACACGUCAGGUUUCAGCCAACGAACAGGAUGUCAUCAAGGAAGAAACGGAAGCAGACACAUCGCCAAGCAGAGAUCAAGGCUCGGACUUGCCAGCGUCUGAGAAGAACUCUGUGUUCAAGUUCAGCGAUGGAGACACGGCAGCCAUGAUGAAAGAAGCACUGAGCUUUUCUUCGCACCCCGCUGGCACAGAGCGGAGCAAAUCCAACUCCGAACAUGUGUCAAAGUCGGUUGUGCUACGUUCGCCUGCCACUGUUGUCACCAUUCGAGCCUCGGAAACAGUCAGCGUGAGUUCCCUGGGGCCAUCUGCCGUGCGCAACCUGACGUGGACUCCCCCCCACAGUGUUGAAGGCUCUACCCCGACACACACGGAAGGAACGCCUUCGUUUACGGAGUCCAGUUCCAGCGGAGACAUUGCUUGCCCAACGACACCCCUUAAGAACUGGAUGAAUAAGGGGUCACAGCCUUCGCUCGGUGACUCACAAGGGCUACACGACAGCGAAACGCCACAGGGUGGACCACUCGUUGUCAUGGAAACGUCAGUGUGACUGAUGCACUCAGGCCAGUACAAAAGCAAAAACCUUGAGCAUUGCCAGGCUUUCGCUGCCUUUGCACAUGUUGGCCGUGCGGCCACUUCGCCAGUGGCCAGCACUGCCUCUGUACGCCACGACCUCCUUAAUCCCAUUAACGAGGAUUGAGCGAAGAGAAAAACAAACAAAAAAGGCCCGCCUUGUGAACGACUGUUCUCUGUGUGCUGUAGUGUUGGUGGCAUCAAGAGGAACCACCAUCGGCCUGCAUGUGUGUGCGUGUUUCGUGUCGUUUACGCCCCCGGCCUCGUGCGCCCUCCCUACCCAACCUGACGAUGCUGGAUACUUUUUCGAUGCAUCAGUGCUUACUGUUACAUUCAUUCGCCCCCUUUAUUUUGUUUUUUUAUUAUUAUUAGCUUUUUGUCUGCUUGUCUCUGUUGAUUCCGCCGAAGUCUCUACGAACAAACCACUAAUCGCCACAGCAUCUUGAUCAACUAACAGCGUGUGUCACAUCACAAUCAGCCAUGCAUCGGCACCCUGCCUGAAGUUCUACUCAUGGUCACGUGAUGAAAAAAUAUGAAUGAAAAGCUUGUGCAACCGCUGACUGUACUCUCUUGGCCCUUGACAACGAGGUUGUUUUGCUGUAUAGUUUGUCUGACAAUGUAUACGAUACAUGUGUGGUCUCUAUUUCCUUCAGUGAUUGACCUGUUUCCACUUUUUUGUUGUUUUUUUAAUUGCAUAUGCUUAUAAUUGAGUGUUUUUUGUCUGCCACACUGGAAGUUCACCUCAGUUGAUUCGCUGUCCUUUGUCUUUAUGUUCGUGGCCACAGUCAUUCUGUGUAGCACUGCUGCUUCAGUCCACCUUAGAUGAUUUGCAGAGUUGUCGUGUAGGGAAAGGCAGGCUUAGGAUGGUUUGUUAAGUUAGCGUAAUGAAACUGUGCUCUGCAAAAGAGACAUAAAAUCAAGAAAGAAGGUAACAGGACAACAAAGCUAUAGUCCUGUUUGCUUCCUUCUAAAGUCUGUCUUUUUUGCACUAUGGGGUUUUGUCACGAGUUGUCUUGUGCAGCUAGCUGGCCUCUGUUGUGGGCUACACUAGAUACCAAGAAGCUGUGCAUUCUUUUUGUUUUGCACAGUUGUGCUUGCUGUAGCAUUCUAUUAGGGGUGUAAGAAUGUUCUAAAUUUCAAAUACCAUUCGGAAUACUUAUGUUUUGUAUCGGAGUGUUCAGUUUGAGAAUGAGAAAUUUUAUUUCUUAGAAUAUUGGACUAUGGCUGAAUGUAUGGGGUUAUCACUAUGAUCAUAUAAGCCUGCCUGCUGUCGAAAAAGGUCCAUGAAUAUGGUUCGCUGGCCACUUCAUUUUCCCAUGACAAGACUUUCACCAUUUGCUCACUUGCAAGCUGCUUAGUUGAACAGACUUUCAAUAGCAUUGACUAUGUUGAAAGAAAUAAGGUUGACUAUCCCUUCUCUAUAUUUCUUAACUAACUUUCUUUUUUUACUUUCAGAAGUGUGAAAAUAUAUACAAGUUGAUUUGGCAUUACAGGCCCAUAUAUUUAAUAUUCAUAUGUAUUUGAUUUGAACAAAAAUUUUCUCUAUGAAAACACUUCUGCUGUAUAACUAACUUUCCCUUUAAUCACAACAUUCUUAUGGUUGGAAGUAGUAAGACACAACAUGAACAGUGGUGGGCAGUGUUGAAGCAAUGGUGAAGGAGCAAAAGUGAAUGAGCAAAAGUGAAUGUAGUAGUGAAGCAUCAGUAGCCACAGAUUGAUGAUUUGUAUGAACCGUUGGCUUUAUGUUAUUGUUGUCGUCUUGAAAAUGCCUUUAGCAUUGCAACGCAAUACUGCUGUUAUCUAUAGGCAUGGGGAGGGGGGGGGGGGAGAGAGAGCAUCUAUUAUACUACCUAGUGUCGUCCCCAGUUGUUUGCACCAUGUGAUCCGUGUACAGAGACUGCUGUCACCGUGUAGGCUAUCACUUCACUGUGCCAUGAAUGUUGUCCGCCUCUACUUAUUGUCCAGUUUGUGUGUAUAGUGAUAGAGGUCUAGGCAUCCUCUCCGUGUGUGUCACAGAAAAGUGCCAGCUCAGCUUUACCUUAGCGGAGAUGUUUAGUUUCACAAAUGUGCACUUCAAGCCUUCUCAGCCGUUGUCUCCCCCACGUGAUGUGUAACAUACGUACCCUUGAGGCUGUUGUUUGCAAACUAAGUGGAACAAAGGUGCUAGUGUGUCUACCCAUUUUUAGUCUUUUAAUCAGUGCAAUGUGCCGUGGAAGUUGCAGGAGCCUUUGAAAAGUGCAUGAAAUAGUAAUGUUGCAAUUGCAAUCUUCCCGUUGUAAAAUAAAAGGUGUCUUCUUUUUUU